AUUGAACGCUGGCGGCAGGCUUAACACAUGCAAGUCGAGCGGAGAUGAGGUGCUUGCACCUUAUCUUAGCGGCGGACGGGUGAGUAAUGCUUAGGAAUCUGCCUAUUAGUGGGGGACAACAUUCCGAAAGGAAUGCUAAUACCGCAUACGUCCUACGGGAGAAAGCAGGGGAUCUUCGGACCUUGCGCUAAUAGAUGAGCCUAAGUCGGAUUAGCUAGUUGGUGGGGUAAAGGCCUACCAAGGCGACGAUCUGUAGCGGGUCUGAGAGGAUGAUCCGCCAAACUGGGACUGAGACACCGCCCAGACUCCUACGGGAGGCAGCAGUGGGGAAUAUUGGACAAUGGGGGAAACCCUGAUCCAGCCAUGCCGCGUGUGUGAAGAAGGCCUUAUGGUUGUAAAGCACUUUAAGCGAGGAGGAGGCUACUGAGACUAAUACUCUUGGAUAGUGGACGUUACUCGCAGAAUAAGCACCGGCUAACUCUGUGCCAGCAGCCGCCGUAA
rnacentral:rRNA from 1 species